UGGGGAAUAUUGCACAAUGGGCGCAAGCCUGAUGCAGCCAUGCCGCGUGUAUGAAGAAGGCCUUCGGGUUGUAAAGUACUUUCAGUCGGGAGGAAGGUGGUAAGGUUAAUAACCUUAUCAAUUGACGUUACCGACAGAAGAAGCACCGGCUAACUCCGUGCCAGCAGCCGCGGUAAUACGGAGGGUGCAAGCGUUAAUCGGAAUUACUGGGCGUAAAGCGCACGCAGGCGGUCUGUCAAGUCGGAUGUGAAAUCCCCGGGCUCAACCUGGGAACUGCAUUCGAAACUGGCAGGCUAGAGUCUUGUAGAGGAGGGUAGAAUUCCAGGUGUAGCGGUGAAAUGCGUAGAGAUCUGGAGGAAUACCGGUGGCGAAGGCGGCCCCCUGGACAAAGACUGACGCUCAGGUGCGAAAGCGUGGGGAGCAAACAGG
rnacentral:rRNA from 1 species